UGGGGAAUAUUGGGCAAUGGGCGCAAGCCUGACCCAGCAACGCCGCGUGAAGGAAGAAGGCUUUCGGGUUGUAAACUUCUUUUAUAAGGGACGAAAGCAGUGACGGUACCUUAUGAAUAAGCUCCGGCUAACUACGUGCCAGCAGCCGCGGUAAUACGUAGGGAGCAAGCGUUAUCCGGAUUUACUGGGUGUAAAGGGCGUGUAGGCGGGAAGGCAAGUCAGAUGUGAAAACUAUGGGCUCAACCCAUAGCCUGCAUUUGAAACUGUUUUUCUUGAGUACUGGAGAGGCAGGCGGAAUUCCGUGUGUAGCGGUGAAAUGCGUAGAUAUACGGAGGAACACCAAUGGCGAAGGCAGGUUGCCAGCAGAUGACUGACGCUGAGGUGCGAAGGUGCGGGGAGCAAACAAGAUUAGAUACCCUGGUAGU
rnacentral:rRNA from 1 species